AUUGAACGCUGGCGGCAUGCCUUACACAUGCAAGUCGAACGGCAGCACGGGUGCUUGCACCUGGUGGCGAGUGGCGAACGGGUGAGUAAUACAUCGGAACGUACCUUAUCGUGGGGGAUAACGCAGCGAAAGCUGUGCUAAUACCGCAUACGCCCUGAGGGGGAAAGCGGGGGAUCGCAAGACCUCGCGCGAUUAGAGCGGCCGAUGCCUGAUUAGCUAGUUGGUGGGGUAAAAGCCCACCAAGGCGACGAUCAGUAGCUGGUCUGCGAGGACGAUCAGCCACACUGGGACUGAGACACGGCCCAGACUCCUACGGGAGGCAGCAGUGGGGAAUUUUGGACAAUGGGGCAACCAUGAUCCAGCAAUGCCGCGUGAGUGAAGAAGGCCUUCGGGUUGUAAAGCUCUUUUGUCAGGGAAGAAACACCGGCUCUAACACAGUCCGGGAAUGACGGUACCUGAAGAAUAAGCACCGGCUAACUACGUGCCAGCAGCCGCGGUAA
rnacentral:rRNA from 1 species